rnacentral:misc_RNA from 1 species
UGGCUCUGGCAUCGAUGAAGAACGCAGCGAAAUGCGAUACGUAAUGUGAAUUGCAGAAUUCAGUGAAUCAUCGAAUCUUUGAACGCACAUUGCGCCCGCCAGCACUCUGGCGGGCAUGCCUGUUCGAGCGUCAUUUCAACCCUCAGAACCCCUUUGGGGGAUCUGGCGUUGGGGAUCGGCAGUCCUGCCGGCCCCGAAAUAUAGUGGCGGUCUCUCUGUGACCUUCCCUGUGUAGUAGCGAUACCUCGCAGCGGGAUAGCAGUUUGGCCACGCCGUAAAACACCCAACUUCUCAAGGUUGACCUCGAAUCAGGUAGGAAUACCCGCUGA